rnacentral:rRNA from 1 species
AAUCUGGCAGUCUUUGAUUGUCCGAGUUGUAAUUUAGAGAAGUGUUACCCGUGUUGGGCCGUGUACAAGUCUCCUGGAAUGGAGCGUCAUAGAGGGUGAGAAUCCCGUCUUUGACACGGACUUCCAAUGCAUUGUGGUGCGCUCUCGAAGAGUCGAGUUGUUUGGGAAUGCAGCUCUAAAUGGGUGGUAAAUUCCAUCUAAAGCUAAAUAUUGGGGAGAGACCGAUAGCGAACAAGUACCGUGAGGGAAAGAUGAAAAGAACUUUGGAAAGAGAGUUAAACAGUACGUGAAAUUGCUGAAAGGGAAACGCUUGAAGUCAGUCGCGUUAUCUGGGGAUCAGCCUUCCUUUUGGUUGGUGUACUUCCUAGUUGACGGGUCAGCAUCAGUUUUGACCAGUGGAUAAAAGCUUGAGGAAUGUGGCAUCUUCGGGUGUGUUAUAGCCUCUUGUUGUAUACAUUGGUUGGGACUGAGGAACUCAGCACGCCGCAAGGCCGGGUUUUUAACCACGUUCGUGCUUAGGAUGCUGGCAUAAUGGCUUUAAUCGACCCGUCUUGAAACACGGACCAAGGAGUCUAACAUGCCUGCGAGUGUUUGGGUGGAAAACCCGAGCGCGUAAUGAAAGUGAAAGUUAGGAUCUCUGUCGCGGAGAGCACUGACGCCCGGCCCAGACCUUUUGUGACGGUGCCGCGGUUGAGCAUGUAUGUUGGGACCCGAAAGAUGGUGAACUAUGCCUGAAUAGGGUGAAGCCAGAGGAAACUCUGGUGGAGGCUCG